AUUGAACGCUGGCGGCAUGCUUUACACAUGCAAGUCGAACGGCAGCGCGGGCUUCGGCCUGGCGGCGAGUGGCGAACGGGUGAGUAAUGCAUCGGAACGUGCCCAGUAGUGGGGGAUAGCCCGGCGAAAGCCGGAUUAAUACCGCAUACGACCUGAGGGUGAAAGCGGGGGACCGAAAGGCCUCGCGCUAUUGGAGCGGCCGAUGUCGGAUUAGCUAGUUGGUGGGGUAAAGGCUUACCAAGGCGACGAUCCGUAGCUGGUCUGAGAGGACGACCAGCCACACUGGGACUGAGACACGGCCCAGACUCCUACGGGAGGCAGCAGUGGGGAAUUUUGGACAAUGGGGGCAACCCUGAUCCAGCCAUGCCGCGUGCGGGAAGAAGGCCUUCGGGUUGUAAACCGCUUUUGUUCGGGAAGAAAUCCUCUGGGCUAAUACCCCGGGGGGAUGACGGUACCUGAAGAAUAAGCACCGGCUAACUACGUG
rnacentral:rRNA from 1 species